UUCAGCAAAAGCUUAUGAAAGUAGGCGCGCAUAUAGCAAAAGAAAAUUAAGGCUAAACAUUAAAAAAAACACACAGGUGUUAAGGAUUUUAUAGGUUGGCGAAUUUCGUAAAGUUGAAUGGAGUCUUGAAGAGUUGGUCGCGGAAGUUUGAAGAAAAGAUCCAAAUUGAAGAACAAAGACUCAUUCGGAAAGCUCGGCAUCUCAGAUAUGAAGAAUAGAUGAUUUAUGGUGAAGAUGUUUAAUUGUAAUAAGUUCAGAAGGCUUAGAUUG
rnacentral:lncRNA from 1 species